GAUGAAGAACGUAGUGAAAUGCGAUACUUGGUGUGAAUUGCAGAAUCCCGUGAACCAUCGAGUCUUUGAACGCAAGUUGCGCCCGAAGCCAUCAGGUUGAGGGCACGUCUGCCUGGGCGUCACAUAUCGUUGCCCAAUGCCUAUUGCAGUGCAAUAGGAAUUUCUAGGGCGAAUGAUGGCUUCCCGUGAGCGUUGUUGCCUCGCGGUUGGUUGAAAAUCGAGUCCUUGGUAGGGUGUGCCAUGGUAGAUGGUGGUCGAGUUAGAACGAUACCGAUCAUGUGCAUGCUCCCCAAAAUAUGGCCUCUAUGACCCACACGCGUCUUUUGACGCUCAUGACGAUACCUCAGGUCAGGCGGGGCUACCCGCUGAAUUUAAGCAUAUCAAUAAGCGGAGGA
rnacentral:misc_RNA from 1 species